rnacentral:tRNA from 1 species
CCUUCGAUAGCUCAGUUGGUAGAGCGGUGGACUGUAGAUGAUCACGUUUCAGUGUAAAAAUAGUAAUCCAUAGGUCGCUGGUUCAAAUCCGGCUCGAAGGA